UAAUUCAGCGGGGAGAUGCCUGUGGAGCAGGCUGUGGGCAGGGAAGGGAGGUGAGAUGCACCAGCUCAGUCCACCAUCACUGGGAAUCCACUCCAAGCACAGGAAAGCAGCCAGCCAGGCAGAGCUGCUCCCCGGGACUGAGGAAGGGCUCCCAUUCUGUCUUUGUAGAUUCCUGGCACUGGGUCUGGAACGAUUGCGUCCUGUUCGCUGUGCGAUGUUCUCCAUCCUCUGCACAAAAGGCCUGAUGGGUGAAUCCAGGCAUCUUGGCGCUCUGCUGACAUCAUGGAAAAUCUUAGCUGCAUGGCCGCAGAGCACACACUUGCCAAUUAGCAGGGGAGCCCACAGAGGAAAGAGCACAGGUCUGCAGCCCACAGAACGGUGCCAUCCACAUCCAGGGACAAUCUCCCUACCUCAGUUAACCCGCUCUAGAAGCCCCCUCACAGACACGCACUGAGGCUGGUGCCCUAGCCUGGCUCCCUCCUGCUUCCCCUGAAUUCUAGAAAGGACGCUGGGCUGCUGGGCCGCCAGCUGCCUGCUGUUCCUCCUGAUUCAUCGCAGCCCAGGUUCUGGCCUCCUGCACAGAAGCAACCCCAGACUCCAGAACUCCAGACUCCAACCCCAGAAGCACGUCCUGACUCGGCUGGUCAGACGUCCGGUGCUUGAGAUCAAAUCCCAACCCCAUCGCUGUUUUGCUGUGAGAUGCUGGGGAGAAUGGGGUGUGUGGAGGAGACUAGAAGACAGCUGAUUGUGAGCUCUGCAGCUUGGGAGUGUGACUGUGGGAAGGUGACUUCAAGGAUGGGUGUCGCCAACCCCACCCCUUGCCUGCUCUUUUGGUUCUAAAAGGCCAGCCAUCAGAGACCACCUCAGCAGCAGCAGCAGCCCUAGGAAGUGGUGACAGACAGACUCAUGGUGCGUGCUGACAUCUUUGUUGGCCUUUGUCCUGCCAGGGAGCCCCCUGGACUGGAGAGGCCAGGGUUCUGUCUUUGUGAUGGAUAGAGGGGGGAGGGGUUGGUUACAGCAGCUCCUCGGCUUGUUUUCAACUUUCUCCCCUCUGGGACCGAGAGUCUCUUAAAGGCCCAUCCGGAGGGAUGUAGGAGGCCUGAGAAGUGCAGGGGAUGAAGAUCUCCGACUUUUUCUCUCCCUUCCUCCCCCUUACACUCCCCUCCCCCAUCUCUGGGUAGCACCCUGGGGCCCUUUAAAGGUGAAGUGUGCUUAUGCGGUAUCUACAGGAGGUUGCAGCUGGGUUGGCAGCUAAGACAAUCGUGAUUAAUGGCUGCUGUCCCACUGGUACACAAGGACCAUCCUCGGUGGCUUCCCGGAAACCUUCUCAACAGGUUUUGAGUCAGGACGAGGCUGAGGUCUGCAGGGGAGGCCCAGGAGGUUUCUGCCCUAGUCAGGAUGCUCGCCACAAUGUAGCAGUGUAGCAGGCAGAAGGAGCAAUGCGAGAGCCGGUGGUCUGGCAUCAGGGCUGAAGUGGGCUGGAGUUGGUGAGACUCCAAAGCUUGUCUUGAAACACUCAUAGCGCUUUCACAUCUGGCACUGUCUCAGAAUGGCCUGUGUCUUAGCACGCUUAACCUUUCCCGGUGCUUACCGACGGAGUGCAAGAUGUGCCACUGACGUUUGGGGGAUACCCAGUAAGACCCACUGAUACUGCAAUCUUAGCACACGGUGAUGGGGGUGGGGUCCCAGUCAUGGACACCAGGGCUCACAGAGGUUCCCUAGGAGGUUACGGAGAGCAUUCUGGUCUAUCUGUUUCCAGAAGGAGCUCUCCUCAUCUGCGACACCCAGACUCACCCUGAAGGAAGAAACUAACCCUGGUAGGAUGGCGGAUGCUGAGAUGUGGGUUCCAAGAUCAUUUAGCCCAAGCUGAGAAGACUCUGAGCUGGUCUGCCUAGGGCUCUAACUCCAUGUCCUGCGUGCCUAGUGGUCACAGGUGUCCCCUUAACAAUGCUUCUAAAGGGACUCGCUGACUGGUUUCUUUCUAGGGACCCUAGGGGCUUCACUAAUAGAGACUAGAGGUCGCUGUCAGCAGGACUGGCUCUUGGAAGACUUGGUCCCAAGCUGUUUUCCUUAGUUUAGGUGGCUGUUUGACGCCGCCCUGCUUCCGGCCUCUCUCCCCAGGGGCCAGAGCUGCAGCCCUUGUUUUGGACCUUCCUGAUCCUGAGAAAAUGCAUGCAGAACUCUCCACGAAAGAUACCCUGACGCUGCACUGUCGAGCAUUAAUAACUUAGCUAUUUUUGGAUUCACAAUAAGGAUCGAUACCCCUGGGGCCAUUAAAAUGCCACCAUAAGUGUUCACAUCAUUUUUUUUUUUUUUUUUUUGGGUGAGCAGAGCUUUGGAGAAAGAAUGGAAGGAAACUAGAAAACAGACAGACUUCUGAAAGCACGUGGAGACAGCCAGUGCUUCCUUCUCUCUCCGAGAGCAAAAUUGGGGUCAAGUGACACUUCCUGAACGUGGAGUGUGUCCCCUCUCAGGUCACCGUCUGAGGCACUUUCUCAUCUGACACUCACAGCAGCCCUAAACUAGACAGACACUGCGUAUUUACACUUUGGAUUUGAGCCCUC
rnacentral:sRNA from 1 species